GAUCCUGGCUCAGGACGAACGCUGGCGGCGUGCCUAACACAUGCAAGUCGAACGGACGAGGGGAGCUUGCUCCCCAAGUUAGUGGCGGACGGGUGAGUAACACGUGAGCAACCUGCCCUUCGGAGGGGGACAACAGCGGGAAACUGCUGCUAAUACCGCAUAACGUAUUCUGGAGGCAUCUCCGGGAUACCAAAGAUUUUAUCGCCGAAGGAUGGGCUCGCGUCUGAUUAGAUAGUUGGUGGGGCAACGGCCCACCAAGUCUGCGAUCAGUAGCCGGACUGAGAGGUUGAACGGCCACAUUGGGACUGAGAUACGGCCCAGACUCCUACGGGAGGCAGCAGUGGGGAAUAUUGGGCAAUGGGGGGCAACCCUGACCCAGCAACGCCGCGUGGAGGAAGAAGGCUUUCGGGUUGUAAACUCCUUUGACGAGGGACGAUGAUGACGGUACCUCGAAAACAAGCCACGGCUAACUACGUGCCAGCCGCGGC
rnacentral:rRNA from 1 species